AGCGCAGACGGUUGAUUAAGUCUGAUGUGAAAGCCCGGAGCUCAACUCCGGAAUGGCAUUGGAAACUGGUUAACUUGAGUGCAGUAGAGGUAAGUGGAACUCCAUGUGUAGCGGUGGAAUGCGUAGAUAUAUGGAGAACACCAGUGGCGAAGGCGGCUUACUGGACUGUAACUGACGUUGAGGCUCGAAAGUGUGGGUAGCAAACA
rnacentral:rRNA from 1 species